AUACGGAGGGUGCAAGCGUUAUUCGGAAUCACUGGGCGUAAAGGACGCGUAGGCGGGUUGGCAAGUCAGAUGUGAAAUCCUACAGCUUAACUGUAGAACUGCAUUUGAAACUGCUAACCUAGAGUAUGUGAGGGGGAGAUGGAAUUAGUGGUGUAGGGGUAAAAUCCGUAGAUAUCACUAGGAAUACCGAAAGCGAAGGCGAUCUCCUGGAACAUAACUGACGCUAAGGCGUGAAAGCGUGGGGAGCAAACGGAAUUAGAAACCCCAGUAGUCC
rnacentral:rRNA from 1 species